GGGAUAACUACUGGAAACGGUAGCUAAUACCGCAUAACGUCGCAAGACCAAAGUGGGGGACCUUCGGGCCUCACGCCAUCGGAUGAACCCAGAUGGGAUUAGCUAGUAGGUGGGGUAACGGCUCACCUAGGCGACGAUCCCUAGCUGGUCUGAGAGGAUGACCAGCCACACUGGAACUGAGACACGGUCCAGACUCCUACGGGAGGCAGCAGUGGGGAAUAUUGCACAAUGGGGGAAACCCUGAUGCAGCCAUGCCGCGUGUGUGAAGAAGGCCUUCGGGUUGUAAAGCACUUUCAGCGGGGAGGAAGGCGGUAAGGUUAAUAACCUUGCCGAUUGACGUUACCCGCAGAAGAAGCACCGGCUAACUCCGUGCCAGCAGCCGCGGUAAUACGGAGGGUGCAAGCGUUAAUCGGAAUGACUGGGCGUAAAGCGCACGCAGG
rnacentral:rRNA from 1 species